GAUGAACGCUGGCGGCGUGCUUAACACAUGCAAGUCGAACGAAGCACUUAAGAUUGAUUCUUCGGAUGACGUCUUUUGUGACUUAGUGGCGGACGGGUGAGUAACGCGUGGGUAACCUGCCUCACACAGGGGGAUAACAGUUAGAAAUGACUGCUAAUACCGCAUAACCCGAUAGGAUCGCAUGAUCCAGACGGAAAAGAUUUAUCGGUGUGAGAUGGACCCGCGUCUGAUUAGCUAGUUGGUGAGGUAACGGCCCACCAAGGCGACGAUCAGUAGCCGGCCUGAGAGGGUGAACGGCAACAUUGGGACUGAGACACGGCCCAAACUCCUACGGGAGGCAGCAGUGGGGAAUAUUGCACAAUGGGGGAAACCCUGAUGCAGCGACGCCGCGUGAGUGAAGAAGUAUUUCGGUAUGUAAAGCUCUAUCAGCAGGGAAGAAAAUGACGGUACCUGACUAAGAAGCCCCGGCUAACUACGUG
rnacentral:rRNA from 1 species